rnacentral:rRNA from 1 species
ACCAAACAGCUAGCUCAACCAACAUAACAAAACAUACAACAUAAAUAACUCUACAAAAACAUAAAAUAACAAAAUAAACCAUUCAACCACCCCAGUACGGGCGACAGAAAAGGAACCACUGAAGCAAUAGUCACAGUACCGCAAGGGAAAGCUGAAAGAGAAAUGAAACAACUCACUCAAGUACAUAAAAGCAGAGAACUCACCUCGUACCUUUUGCAUCAUGAUCUAACUAGUAUAACCAAGCAGAGAGAACUCUAGUUUGUUUCCCCGAAACCUGCACGAGCUACCCCGGGACAGCCAAUUCAGGGCCAACCCGUCUCUGUGGCAAAAGAGUGGGAAGAUCCCCGAGUAGAAGUGAAAGACCUAUCGAGUCAGGUAAUAGCUGGUUGUCAAGAAAUGAAUAGUAGUUCAGCUCCGAUAAACCUCCAACCAAAAAGAUACUAAAACAGGCCACAAGCUAAUAACGGAAGUUAGUUAAGGAAGGUACAGCUCCCUUAACAAAGGACACAACCUUAACAGAAAGCUAAGGAAUAAUAUAAACCAAAGGAUUUGGGCUUCAGUGGGCCUGAAAGCAGCCAUCUGACUAGAAAGCGUUAAAGCUCAGACCCUAACAAUCCUAUUAUUAGAUUAACAAAUCCAAUGCUUCUAAAAAUAAUGGACCACCUUAUACCCGUAUAAAAAAGACCAUGCUAGAACAAGUAAUAAGAAGAACGAACUUCUCCCAGCACAAGUGUAAGUCGGAUCGGACACCCCGCCGACAAUUAUCGAACCCAAUAAAAGAGGGAAUUGCACAACUAACCAUUAAAACAAGAAACCCAUGCAACCAAAAUCGUUAACCUUACACAAGAGUGCCCACCAAAGGAAAGACUUAAAGGAAAAAAAGGAACUCGGCAAACCUAAACCCCGCCUGUUUACCAAAAACAUCGCCUCCUGCAUCACUGAGAAUAGGAGGUCCCGCCUGCCCUGUGACUUAAAGUUUAACGGCCGCGGUAUUUUAACCGUGCGAAGGUAGCGCAAUCAAUUGUCUUUUAAAUGAAGACCUGUAUGAAUGGCAUAACGAGGGUCUGACUGUCUCUUUUUCCCAGUCAAUGAAACUGAUCUGCCCGUGCAGAAGCGGGCAUAACAAUAUAAGACGAGAAGACCCUAUGGAGCUUUAGACAUUAAUCAACUAUGAAAAGCGAAUAAAACACUUCCCAAACAACAUAGCCAUGACACAAAUGUCUUCGGUUGGGGCGACCACGGGAUAUAAAAAAACUCCCGAGUGGAUAGGGUUAAACCCUAAAACUAAGAACCACACCCCUAAGUCACGAAAAUUUCGACCAAUAAUGAUCCGGAAAAAUUUCCGAUCAACGAACCAAGUUACCCUAGGGAUAACAGCGCAAUCCUCUCCCAGAGUCCAUAUCGACGAGAGGGUUUACGACCUCGAUGUUGGAUCAGGACAUCCUGAUGGCGCAGCCGCUAUCAAGGGUUCGUUUGUUCAACGAUUAAUAGUCCUACGUGAUCUGAGUUCAGACCGGAGUAAUCCAGGUCAGUUUCUAUCUAUAAAGCUACCAUCUCUAGUACGAAAGGACCGAAAUGGUGAGGCCAAUACUUAAAGCACGCCUCCCCCCCACCUAAUGAAAACAACUAAAUUAGCCAAAGAGGAGCAGAUCCUUUAGGCCCUAGAGAAGGGUCCA